CAAUAAGAUCUCCCAGUGCGUGCCUGCACAUUUGCAAUUUAUUUAUUGCAAGAUUCCUUAAUGUGAUUACAGUUGAUUUGGCCUUUCCAAGUUUUGUCACGAACCUCGGUCAUAAGUUGUUGCUAAGUUCAUAAGUAUCAUCCAAUCAAAUUUUUUUUUUAAAAUGAUAGCCGGUUACGAAAGUCUAUCUAAACAUUUGAACUUUUACAAUACAAACGAACUAACUUGACUGCAGCUGGUUGGAUGUUUCACAUUAUGUCACACGUUGUAGCUCUCGGGCUUGUGACAUAUAUAUGUUGGUUUGCAGUACCCGGAACAAGUCUAUUUUCAUGGCAUCCGACACUGAUGAUACUUGGUUUUGGUUUUUUCAUGCUGGAGGCAAUUCUAAUAUUUUCAAAAAACAGUAACCUUUUCCCAAAUGCAACUCGAGCAAUCAAGGUUCGGUGCCAUUGGAUCCUCCAAAUUUUGGCAACAUCUUGUGCUGUUGGAGGAUUUCUUGUCAUCUUUAUAAACAAGAAUCAAAGCAAUAAGCCACAUUUCAUAUCCUGGCAUGGCAUUCUUGGAGCCAUCACUGUGUUCCUAACAUGUAUUCAAACAUCCAUGGGUACUGGAUUACUAUAUCCCAAAUUACCAUUAUUUAACACAUUAAAGUUAGUCACAUUCAAGAGACUCCCCGCUUUAUCCGGAGCUCUUAUUUUUAUUCACAGUUGUUUGGUAAUUUUCCUAAGUCUCUAUUCAAAUUGGUUUGUAAGGAAGGCUAGGUUGCAUACUUUUAGUUGGUGGACAUGUGCUGUUUGUAUUACACUGCCAGCAGCCUUUGUAAAUAACCAAAUUGCGCAAGCGUAUUUGUUUAAGAAAAAGUGAUGUAAUCAACUAUCACAACGUUACAGUCGCAUAAAAAAGUAAUAAAAUUUAUACCUUGAAGCACUGGUCACCAUGUUGGAAAAGUUUCAUUAAAUACUUUCUCUUUUCAUCUGC